GGAUGAGGACGCCCUUCCCCCUGUCAUUGAGGAUCGUCAGCUUCUCCGCAAACUUGUGCUGGUAGAUGGAGGGCAGAGACAUCUCCCCAGGUGUGAUGGAUCCCGAGCGGCUCAUCCCAUGCCCCUAUGAUAAAAACCACCAGAUCCGAGCCUCCAGGUUUCCCUACCACUUGGUCAAAUGCGGAGAGAAUAACAAGAAAAGAGCCAAAGAGCUGGCCACGUGCCCCUACAAUGCUCGCCACAGAGUCCCAAAGCGAGAGCUCCAGCUGCACAUCUCCGCCUGCACAGACAACAGGGCGUCAGAGCUGUUCAGUGGGACAUCAAUGACUUUCAGUCCCAAGAAGGAACUGAAAGAGACUCCAAGAUCCUGGCAGUGUCCCCCCUGCCAAGAGGACUGGGAGGCAGACACAGAUGAGUCUGCUGCCACUGCUCCUUUUGUUCUUGGCUUCAAGGCAAACUGUACCUUAAGCACAAGUCAAAGUGUUGGUGAGACAGGCCAGGAUGGAAACCAGCAAAUGCAGGCUGUAAGCACCUCAGCAGCAGCAUGGACUCCGAAGGGUCACUCCUGGAGAAAUGACAUGGAUUAUGAGUCCUCUCAGCUGUAGCAUCACAAUGGGAGUUCACGAGCUGCUUCUUUUCGUCUUAAGACCUGUAAAUCCUCUUCAGCCAGUGCUCUCCAGGAUCCAGUCCCCCAUUCGACAUCACCACCCAGCGACUGAAGCACUGCUCUAAGGGGAGAGCCUGGCUGAAAGGGCAGCCAGUGGUGAGAAGUAUGUCAGUUUGUAAGGGCACUGAAAGUGUUAAGAUCGGUUUAGAAUGCAUUUUGCUUUUAUUUCAUUUGACCAAAUCUGACUUAGAUUUUAAGUGAUUAUAAGUGUCAUAAACAGAUAGCUAAGGGUUAAUGUCUCUUUCACCUGGAAAGGAGUAACCUGAAACACCUGAACAAAGGACCAAUCAGGAAACAAGACUUUUUCAAAUCUGGGUGGAGGGAAGUUUGUGUGUGAGU